rnacentral:tRNA from 1 species
AUUCAUGUAGUUUAGUAAAAACAUUUCAUUUUCAAUGAAAAAAAGAAAUUUAUUUCCUUGAAUA